AACGAACGCUGGCGGCAUGCCUAACACAUGCAAGUCGAACGAGACCUUCGGGUCUAGUGGCGCACGGGUGCGUAACGCGUGGGAACCUGCCCUUAGGUUCGGAAUAACUCCCCGAAAGGGGUGCUAAUACCGGAUAAUGUCUUCGGACCAAAGAUUUAUCGCCUUUGGAUGGGCCCGCGUUGGAUUAGCUAGUUGGUAGGGUAAAAGCCUACCAAGGCGACGAUCCAUAGCUGGUCUGAUAGGAUGAUCAGCCACACUGGGACUGAGACACGGCCCAGACUCCUACGGGAGGCAGCAGUGGGGAAUAUUGGACAAGGGGCGAAAGCCUGAUCCAGCAAUGCCGCGUGAGUGAUGAAGGCCUUAGGGUUGUAAAGCUCUUUUACCCGGGAUGAUAAUGACAGUACCGGGAGAAUAAGCUCCGGCUAACUCCGUG
rnacentral:rRNA from 1 species